CCUACGGGGGGCAGCAGUAGGGAAUAUUGCUCAAUGGGGGAAACCCUGAAGCAGCAACGCCGCGUGGAGGAUGAAGGUUUUCGGAUUGUAAACCUCUGUCAGCAGGGAAGAACGGUCACUGUGCUAAUCAGCAGUGAAUUGACGGUACCUGCAAAGGAAGCACCGGCUAACUCCGUGCCAGCAGCCGCGGUAAUACGGAGGGUGCGAGCGUUAAUCGGAAUUACUGGGCGUAAAGCGCUCGUAGGCGGUAUGUCAAGUCAAGGGUGAAAUCCCCGCGCUCAACGUGGGAACUGCCUUUGAAACUGGCAAACUGGAGUGUGUGAGAGGAUAGUGGAAUUCCAGGUGUAGGAGUGAAAUCCGUAGAUAUCUGGAGGAACAUCAGUGGCGAAGGCGACUAUCUGGCACAUAACUGACGCUGAGGAGCGAAAGCGUGGGUAGCAAACAGGAUUAGAUACCCUAGUAGUC
rnacentral:rRNA from 1 species